AAAACCUGAACGAUCCUCCUUGAAGAAAACUUGAACAAGAAAGCUUGUUCACUAGAAAACUGCAUCUCCGUCACGGUCUCUUACUCUCAAUCUCUCUCUCUCUCUCUCUCUCUCUCUCUAUCAAAGAAGAUUCAUUAAAAUCAACAACUAGAAGAAUAAGUUAUCGCUUUGUUCCAUAUCUCUCUUCUUCGAUUCAAAGCGACGACGGAAACCUAAAAUCCAGAACACAGAUUUCUCUUAAGACAACAUCAGCAAUGGCCGACGAUGACCAGGAUAUGGGUAAUAUAGGGUUUGAGCAAUAAUCUGGUAUUUACAUUAAUAUUAGGAAGCAAAGGUAGUUAGAGGCAGGAAGGAGAUUGAGAAGUCUAUAAAUUUAUUGGUGUAGGAAUUGAAGGUUUUUAAGACGUUCGGCGAAUAGUUGUAUGCGGAUAUGACUGGACUCUUAGGGUUUGAGAACUUCUGGUAUAUGAACUAAUGUAAAAAGCCUUGUGCAUAUCUCUCUUUUUGUCUAGUGCAGGCAGUUGAAUAGUGUAAUGUCCGAUUAUUGUGUAGGGAAAAUGUGCAUUUUAAGAUGUUUGUCGGUGUGCAGGUAGCUGGUGAUUUAUUCAUUCAGUUUGUCUCUUAGAUAUAUAUUCUUCUUUUCUUAUUAAUCCAAUACAAUUACUUCUAAAGUUUAAAAAAUGCAAUCUUAACUUUCGUUGCUAGUUUUUUAAUAUUUUGAACAGGAAACUUAGGAAACCUUAUGUACAUAGUAUUCCCUGCAAUCUGUCUUGAGAAAGGAAGUCCAUUUGGCCACAGUGGUAGUUAUUGCAGCAGUGUUGGACUCGCACAUGCAUCAUUAUGGAUGUCGCUAAGUAAAUUGUGUAGCCGGACACUUCUGUUAACACUAGUACCUAGGGGAGUAUAUUUUUUUUUGGCUAACUAAAAUGACAUAUCCGAACUAUAUUCACAGUUUAUGUUUCACCUUAUUUAUUGCAAGCUAGUGGUGGUGGCGACUUGUAGUAGCAUAGGGAUGGUACUGGAGAUGGUGGUGGUGACUUGUAUUAAGGUGGUGAUACUGGAGAUGGUGGUGGUAAGUUGUAGUAGUUCUGGGUUGGUACUGGUGAUGGUAGUGGUGACUUGUAAUAGCAAGAAGUAGGUUCUAUAGAUGGCGGUGGGGUGGUGAUUUCUAGCUGUAUGUGGCAGGUGUGGGAGGUGGUGGGGGUGGUGACUUGUAGUACAAUGGAUUUGGUACUGUAGAUAUUAUGACUUUGAUUGUCGCGAAAAAAAAUUGUGCUGGAAAUUUAAGAUGUUUAUGCAAUUUAUUUCAUCACUCUUAUGUUAUGAUGGAUACCUAUGUAUACUGUAUUUACAUAUAAUCACUAAAUAUGUUCAUCAUUUUCUCCCUUGCUAACUCCUUUUUGUAGGGGAUUUUUUUUUAUAUAAAUAUUAAAUGUGUUCUUCUUUUUUUCCUACUAUCUGUAAUCAUUGGGUUAUAUGUGCAGAUCUUUGGCUCAAUGUUAUGAAGACUGAUGAAAAAAAUUGCUAGUCAAGGUAUUACUAGCACAAGUAAUUUGGUAGUCAAUGGUUCAGAAUAGCUGCUGAAUGUGCACUGAAGAUCUCUCUUUACAAUACAAUUGCAAUUCAGAAGCUGAAAUGGAUAAAUAGCAGCAUCAGAAGAACCAGUGUGCAAGUGUUGGUUUGCUUUCAGGUUCUGGUAGGAGAAUAAGUUUCCGGCACUGAUUUUGCAGAACUCUAGCCAUCUCUGGUGGUGUCUAAUCAAGUUUAAUGAACAACUGAAAAAGAGGGCAUCGGACGAAGCAGUUAUCAGGGUUGUUGAGGACAAACAGAUAUUGAAUAAAGAAACAAGUGGAUUCAGGUAAUUUUAUUGGUAUAUAUGCCGGAACUCUUAGAUUUUUAGAUGAGAAAAGAGUCAUCUGCUUGUACCUAGCAGUUAUGAAUCAUCUGAUAGUUGAACACACCAUGAACCUAAGUAUCAUUGAACAAAUCGAUUAACAUAUAUAAUUAUUCGAACAGUGUUUGCUUCUUUCGAAUGUAGAAUGAAUGUUUGAAUCAA